UGUUUUUAACAAAACAUGUCUUGACGAAAUUUUAUGUUAAGUCUGGCCUGCUCAAUGAUUUAAUAUUUAAUAGCCGCAGUAUAUUAACUGUGCAAAGGUAGCAUAAUCAUUUGUCUUUUAAUUGAAGGCUUGUAUGAAUGGUCGGAUGAAAGGAUUGCUUUCUUUAUAUUAAAGGUUGAAUUUAAUUUUUAAGUUAAAAAGCUUAAAUAUAUAAGGGGGACGAGAAGACCCUAUAGAAUUUUAUUUAAGUUUAAUUAUUAAAUAAUUUGGUUGAUUUAUUUUUUUAAUAAUUAAAUUAAAUUUUGUUGGGGUGACAGUGAGAUUUUAUUAACUCUCAUAAUUUAUUAUUUACUUAUUGGUAUUUUAAAGAUCCUUUAUUAUGGAUAUUUAGAUUAAAUUACCUUAGGGAUAACAGCGUUAUUUUUUCGGAGAGUUCUUAUCGAUGAAAGAGUUUGCGACCUCGAUGUUGGAUUAAAAUAAGAUUUAAGUGCAGAAGCUUAAUUUCUAGGUCUGUUCGACCUUUAAAAUUUUACAUGAUCUAUUUUUCCACCCG
rnacentral:rRNA from 1 species